rnacentral:tRNA from 1 species
GCGAGAGUUGCCCAGCCAGGUCAAAGGCGCCAGGUUCAGAGUCCAGUCUUGUAGAAGUCAUGCAUUCGAAUCGCACCUCUCGCA